AUUACCUUGUUGCCAUUUUACACUGUAAAAAGCUCAAAGAUGACACAGUGAGACUGUCCAACAAGCAGGAUGUGACUCUAAGUUAUCCUAUCCACUACUCUGCCAUCAACUGCAAAGAGAACUGCUCUGAAUUUGCAUACGGAGAUAAACUCCCACCUCUCCUGCCGAGACACAGGAUUCUAUCUCUGACCACAGUCAAGAAGAAGACAGGAAAUGAAUACAAAAGGGAAAAAACCUGUAACCGUCAAAACCAGCAAUCUGAGGAGGGACGGUGAUUACUAGACCAAAGAGACUGAAACAAGUGUCUUGUGGAUGUGUGAUGAAGAUGCAAACCAAGAACAGAAGAAGCUAAAGCCCAGACAC